ACGGAGGGCUCAAGCGUUGUUCGGAAUUAUUGGGCGUAAAGGGUGCGUAGGUGGUGUGUUAAGCGAGAUGUGAAAGCCAGUAGCUUAACUAUUGUAAUCCUUGCGAACUGGAAGACUUGAGGGCAGGAGAGGAAAGUGGAAUUCCUAGUGUAGCGGUGAAAUGCGUAGAUAUUAGGAGGAACACCAGUGGCGAAGGCGACUUUCUGGACUGUAACUGACACUGAGGCACGAAAGCGUGGGGAGCAAACAG
rnacentral:rRNA from 1 species